AACACCAAUAUCACUCUUGACAUGAUCUAUAAAGAUAACAUAGCAACACUAUCUCUUUUACAAACAUAACAGUACUAUAUCAUCAGCAGUCAAUAUUACAUAUUAAAAUAACAACUAUCAUAUUUUUCGUAUAAAUUUUUCACUUUCUACGAGAACAGAAUUUUAACACACAAAAUUGCUAAAAUAAAUACAAUAAAUAUCUUUCUCUCAAUCGAUCCUUUCCGUCAAUGCUGUUGUU
rnacentral:lncRNA from 1 species